UUUGCUCUUCUUAGUUCAGUCACUCGGUGCGCGAUGUGUUACUCACUGUGCGGCGGGGACCGCGACGAGCCCGGGUCGCCGUUGGCAGCAGCAGCAGCAGCAGCAGCCCCGGUGGCGGCGCGGACCCCGAGUGCCCGGGCGCGCCCCGGCACCCCGCAGCGCGGCGCAGCGGCGGGACCGGUGCGGCCGCGCGCGCCUUAGGCUCGGCUCCGCGGCUCGGGGACCCCGACUCUCGGCCCGGCCAGCGAGUCCCCAGGCGCCGCCCGAGAGCCCGGGAGACAGCGGCCGCGGGCAGCCGGGCCGGGGGGCGGCCACCGCCCGCGCCGGGCAUCCUCCGGGGCCCGGAGCGCGGAGGGCGCUGCGCCACCGCGCGGUGCCGGCCCCGCCGGGCUCCCCCAACCUUCCCCGCCUCCUGGGCCCGAGGGACGCGGGCUCCGGCGGGCGAGCAGGGGAGGGGAGGGAGCCGCCCCCGCCCGCGCGCCCCUCCGCUCUCCCCCAGCUCCGCCACGCCGGGCCGGGCGGCGCGGCCUGAAACGCGGGCGAUGGCGAGCCCGCCGCUGCAUGGGCCCCCCGGGCCGGCGGGCGGCGACGGCCCCAACCUCAACAACAACAACAACAACAACCACAGCGUGCGCAAGUGCGGCUACCUGCGCAAGCAGAAGCACGGCCACAAGCGCUUCUUCGUGCUGCGCGGGCCCGGCGACGAGGCGACGGCGACCGCGGGCGGGGGGCCGGCGCCGCAGCCGCCGCGGCUCGAGUACUACGAGAGCGAGAAGAAGUGGCGGAGCAAGGCGGGCGCCCCGAAGCGGGUCAUCGCGCUCGACUGCUGCCUGAACAUCAACAAGCGCGCCGACGCCAAGCACAAGUACCUGAUCGCGCUCUACACCAAGGACGAGUACUUCGCGGUGGCGGCCGAGAACGAGCAGGAGCAGGAGGGCUGGUACCGCGCGCUCACCGACCUGGUCAGCGAGGGCCGCGCCGGCGACGCGCCCCCCGCCGCCGCCACCGCCGCGUCCUGCAGCGCCUCCCUGCCCGGCGCCCUGGGCGGCUCGGCCGGCGCCGCCGCGGCCGAUGACAGCUACGGGCUGGUGGCGCCCGCCACGGCCGCCUACCGCGAGGUGUGGCAGGUGAACCUGAAGCCCAAGGGCCUGGGCCAGAGCAAGAACCUGACGGGCGUGUACCGCCUGUGCCUGUCGGCGCGCACCAUCGGCUUCGUGAAGCUCAACUGUGAGCAGCCGUCGGUGACGCUGCAGCUCAUGAACAUCCGCCGCUGCGGCCACUCGGACAGCUUCUUCUUCAUUGAGGUGGGCCGGUCGGCCGUCACGGGCCCAGGUGAGCUGUGGAUGCAGGCCGACGACUCGGUGGUGGCGCAGAACAUCCACGAGACCAUCCUGGAGGCCAUGAAGGCGCUCAAGGAGCUCUUCGAGUUCCGGCCGCGCAGUAAGAGCCAGUCGUCGGGCUCGUCCUCCACACACCCCAUCAGCGUCCCUGGCGCGCGCCGCCACCACCACCUGGUCAACCUGCCCCCCAGCCAGACGGGCCUGGUGCGCCGCUCGCGCACCGACAGCCUGGCCGCCACUCCGCCGGCCGCGAAGUGCAGCUCCUGUCGGGUGCGCACGGCCAGCGAGGGCGACGGCGGCGCGGCGGCGGGGGCGGCGGCGGGGGCGGCGGGCGGCAGGCCGGUGUCGGUGGCCGGGAGUCCCCUGAGCCCCGGGCCGGUGCGCGCGCCCCUGAGCCGCUCACACACCCUGAGCGGCGGCUGCGGCGCCCGCGCGAGCAAGGUGGCGCCGGCGCCGGCAGGGGGCGCCCUGCAACACAGCCGCUCCAUGUCCAUGCCGGUGGCGCACUCGCCCCCAGCCGCCACCAGCCCCAGCAGCCUGUCGUCCAGCAGCGGGCACGGCUCCGGCUCCUACCCGCCGCCUCCGGGCCCGCACCCGCACCUGCAGCACCCCCUGCACCAGGGGCGGCCCUCCAGCGGCAGCGCCUCGGCCUCGGGCUCCCCCAGCGAUCCUGGCUUCAUGUCCCUGGAUGAGUACGGCUCCAGCCCUGGGGACCUGAGAGCCUUCUGCGGCCACCGGAGCAACACGCCCGAGUCCAUCGCUGAGACACCCCCGGCCAGGGACGGCAGCGGGGGCGAGCUGUACGGGUACAUGACUAUGGACAGGCCCCCGAGCCACUGUGGCCGCCCCUACCGCAGGGUCUCGGGGGAUGGGGCCCAGGACUUGGACCGAGGGCUGAGGAAGAGGACUUACUCCCUGACCACACCUGCCCGGCAGCGGCCGGUGCCCCAGCCCUCCUCUGCGUCCCUGGAUGAAUACACGCUGAUGCGGGCCACCUUCUCUGGCAGCUCCGGCCGCCUCUGCCCGUCUUGUCCCGUGUCGUCUCCCAAAGUGGCCUACCACCCCUACCCCGAGGACUACGGCGACAUCGAGAUCGGGUCCCAUAGGAGCUCUAGCAGUAACCUGGGUGCCGACGAUGGCUACAUGCCCAUGACCCCUGGCGUGGCUCUCCUGGGUGGUGGCCCCGGCAGCUGUAGGAGCGAUGACUACAUGCCCAUGAGCCCCACUAGCGUGUCCGCGCCGAAGCAGAUCCUGCAGCCCCGCGCCGCCGCCGCCGCCGCCGCAGCCCUGCCCCCCACGGGAGCCGCAGUGCCGGCGCCCACCCCUACGGCCGGCAGGGCCUUUCCAGCCAACGGGGGCGGCUACAAGGCGAGCUCCCCAGCCGAGAGCUCCCCCGAGGACAGCGGGUACAUGCGCAUGUGGUGUGGCUCCAGGCUGUCCGUGGAGCAUGCCGACGCCAGGCUGCUACCCAACGGGGACUACCUCAACAUGUCCCCCAGCGACGCGGGCCCCUCGGGGACCCCUCCCGACUUCUUCUCGGCAGCCUUGCAGGGCAGCGGGGAGAUGCUCAGGGGAGUCCCUGGCUAUUGCUACAGCUCCCUGCCCCGCUCCUACAAGGCCCCCUACACGUGCAACGGGGACAACGACCAGUACGUGCUCAUGAGCUCCCCCGUGGGGCGCAUCCUGGAAGAAGAGAGGCUGGAACCGCCGGCCGGCCCGGGGACCGCGCCGUCCACAGGCGCCCUCGCGGCGGCGGGCGGCCACUCCCAGCCUCCUCCCCCAGUAGUGCCUUCGCCCGGCAGGCCGAGCGGCAGCCUUGGUGGCCGCCCCGACGGCUGCCUGAACCAGCGCUGCCGGUUAGUGCGGCCCACACGCCUGUCCCUGGAGGGGCUUCAGACCCUGCCCAGCACGCACGAGUACCCUCUGCCGCCCGAGCCCAAGAGCCCCGGCGAGUACAUCAACAUUGACUUCGGCGAGGCCGCCGCUCGCCUGUCUCCGCCCGCGCCUCCGCUGCUGGCUUCGGCGGCCUCCUCGUCCUCGCUGCUGUCGGCCAGCAGCCCGGCCUCAUCCCUAGGCUCGGGCACCCCGGGCACGAGCAGCGACAGCAGGCAGCGCUCCCCACUCUCCGACUACAUGAACCUCGACUUCAGCUCGCCCAAGUCACCCAAGCCGGGCCCCCGGAGCGGGGACCCCGUGGGCUCCCUGGAUGCCCUCCUGUCCCCCGAGGCCUCGUCCCCCUACCCGCCGCUGCCCCCGCGCCCUCCCGCCCCCACCUCCUCCCCGCAGCCGCAGCCGCCCCCGCCGCCCCCGCCGGGGGAGCUGUACCGCCUGCCCCAGGCGGCCACUUCCCAGGGCCCCAGCGCUGCCUGCUCUUCGUCCCCGGAGCCUGGGGACAGUGGGGACUACACCGAGAUGGCCUUCGGCGUAGCUGCCACCCCGCCGCAACCCAUCGCGGCCCCCCCGAAGCCGGAAGGUGCCCGCGUGACCAGCCCCACGUCCGGCUUGAAGAGGCUGAGUCUCAUGGAUCAGGUGUCGGGGGUGGAGGCCUUCCUGCAGGCGAGCCAGCCCCCAGACCCGCACCGGGGAGCCAAGGUCAUCCGCGCAGACCCACAGGGGGGCCGCCGCCGCCACAGCUCCGAGACCUUCUCCUCGACCACCACUGUGACCCCCGUGUCCCCGUCCUUCGCCCAUAACCCUAAGCGCCACAACUCGGCCUCUGUGGAAAACGUCUGUCUCAGGAAAAGCAGCGAAGGGGGCGGCAGCGGCGUCCUGGGUGGGGCAGACGAGCGCCCCACGUCCCCCCGCCAGUUGCAGCCGCCGCCCCCCCAGCAGGCGCGCCCACGGGCGCCGGGUCAGCCUGGGGGCUUGGUUGGCUGCCCCGGGGGCAGUGGCUCUCCGAUGCGCAGGGAGGCCUCUGCCGGCUUCCAGAACGGCCUCAAUUACAUCGCCAUCGACGUGAGGGACGAGCCUGGGCUGUCGCCCACCCCGCAGCAGCAUCCACAUCCACAGCCCGGAGACAAGAGCGCCUGGGGCCGCACCCGCAGCCUCGGGGGUCUCAUCAGCGCCGUGGGGGGCAGCAGCGGCGGUGGGGUGUGUGGGGGGCCGGGCCCCGGCGCCCUCCCCUCCGCCAGCAGCUAUGCCAGCAUUGACUUCUUGUCCCAUCACCUGAAGGAGGCCACCAUUGUGAAAGUAGAAAAUUCCUUCCAACCUAGAGGAUUCAGGACUCUGAAACCAAAACGGCAGUUCAUAUGCUCUAUGGUGGCUGAACAAAGAUGAGAUUGGAUUUGCAUGCCGUUUUUCCAGAGUCUCUGGGGGCAUUAUGGUAAACACCCAUUUAAGAAGGAAAAGGACUAUUUUUAAGCAAAAUAGAGAGCUGCAAUUGAUCCAUUGUGCCAAAACCACAGUUUUUUUUUUAAAAGGACUGCAUGCUAAAUGGAUUUCUAGUAAACUAAUGUGACACAGAGAACAGUAGAACAGGAAAGACAAGGAUGUCAUCUUAAUUAACGUGAACCUGAGUUGUGGUCUGCGGAGCCAGAAGGGAACUCAAAGUGAACGUCCACUUUUAUUUAACUCACGUGUGCGUGUAGAAAUUUGUUUGUGGUGCUCAUAAAUAAAAAGUUCACAGGAGAUAAGCGUCCUUUGGGAGAAUGAUUUAUAGGAAAGAAGACUUGGAAAGCAUUUCUUUGAAGAUGAAAUAGGAGAAGAACUUCCUGGGUCAUUGCGUGCACUGGCCUGGUGCUCAGGAGUGGCUUAUGUGUCCACACUGAGCUCCUCAGGCUCCAUAUGGGGAAACGUCAUUAAUUAUGCUGAAGCAGAAUAAUUCGGGGUUGUUUGGGUAGGGUUUGGCAUUUGCAUAAGUGGUAACAAAGACAUAAGGUUCCUGCAGUGCUUGAUAGUUGUUUACAAUAGAAUUGGGGAUGGUGGGAUUUUGGUGCCGGAACCAAAGAAACAAGUUAGUAUACCUUAGGGGUGUGUGUGUGUGUGUGUGUGUGUGUGUGUGCGCGCGCGCGCAUGCUCUGGAUUAAGAUAUAAUAAUAAUAUAUAUGAUACAAUAGUUGUAUAUAUUAAUCCAGAGCAAAUCAAAAUUGAACUCUAAAUUAUGCAUCUUACUUGGGAGCAAGGGAAGGUCCUUAAUGUGUGUUUUGCGUGUGUGUGUGUAGGAAAAUCCAACCAAUCUGUCAGAGCGUUGUUGUUUCAGAACUGGAAAUAUAGUACAGGAUUUACUGUGCUUUAAAGCAGCAUUUAAAAACUAACUGUAUACAUUUUUGUGCCGUGAUUGGAGGUUGGUGUCUAUCGUAAAAGGUGCUAUCUUAGUGUUCUGUUCCUCUUUAGUGGGAUUUUUAUUCUAAAAUUGGUUUUCAUGUAUGUAUAAGGCAGAUUAGAUAAGAGUUACCAUUGAAAGCAUCUGUGUUUAAAUUCUGCUUGAUAAAAGGACUAUUUAUUCAUAUCCUAUGGUCAGAGAAUUUGGGGAUAAGAGGAAUGUCUCCAAAGGAACAGUAUAAUCACGAUUUAUGUUUAAAAGGAUUGCCUAUUGGAAGUCCGAAAGCAAAGAAAACUUGAAUAUCUUUCAGUUGCUUGACAAGCCACAUGCCCUUUAUUUUUCUGUUGUGCGUGCUGUCCAGCUCCUGUUGCAACAAGAUAAUAACACUGCUCCGGCCCUGUUCCCAGGCACAGACAACCAAGGUGCUAAUGAAAACACACAGGCUUUCGUGAAUGAAAGUCACGUGACUCGUUCUACUUCCUUUAUUGAAAGAGAAACCUUUACAAAAAUAGUAUUUCGUAGAAGGAAGCAUAGUAUGUGGAACAUUAAACCAGGAAUCAGGAAACCAGGUUUCUGGUUGCUGAUCUAAUGAGUCAUUGUGUGACAGAGGAAAACCAUUUAACCCCACUUUCUCACUUUCUCUGUCUGUAAAAUGGGGUAAUUAUAACCCUCUCCCUUCCGUGGCUUUGGCCACUGGGCGGUCCAGCAGAUCAUAAAAAUGAAGAACAGUUAAAACACUCUUCUAAAGGAUCCUGCUCAUAAACCCACUGAUGCUAUUGACACUUACUACCUUGAAACCAUGAGUAUUUACAGGAAAGUCACUUUUGUCCAUGAACGUUCUUAAAAAAACAAACAAAGAAACAAACUCAGAGUCUGAAAACGGAGCUAAUACCCUUUUAAGAAACGCGUGUCUUUUUUGCUUCUUUGCUAGUUAACACCCCAGUCGCCAGGAACCAUGUUUUCCCCCUCUUUACUUAAGGUGAGAUGUUGUUCAUAGAUAAUUAUCAAUUGCAAUGAAGUAGUGGUUUAAAUUACACAGGAGAAUAACAAUGGGGAAAACAGCAUCCUAAUGCCGAAACUACACUAAGACUGUCCUUUUGAUUACCUUUUAUGAUUUGUUUGUAUGUCAAGAGAUACUGUCAAGAUGAACAUUUUUUAAUUAGAAUAUACCUUUUUUUUUUUUAACUGAUAGUGUUGGCUGUCAAUGUGGGGUGUAUUGAAAGAAAACCAGAACCCUUGAACUUUCAGCCGCUGAAUCCAGUGCUGGGCCUGGGUUGAUUUAAUUAGGGGAGCCACUCCAAAGUUUUGAUUUGUGUGGUUGUCAGACAGGGUAGGGAAACCUCCAGAGUUUGCUUGAGUCAUUUGCUUUUCCACAGGCCUCCUCCCCCACAAAAGGAAUUCUCAUAGAUAAUUAAUGUUUUAUUUUCCUUGGAGCUAUAUGGAUUAAACGAAUCUUUCUCUUUUUCUGGAGAGGAGAACUUGCAGCAGUUUAACGAACAGCAUGGGUAUAAUGGGUUUUCUGUUGAAAUUCCCACUAAUGCAUUUUCUGUAGAAGCAUAGUUCCAAGAGCUGGUUAACUUUUGGUAUCAGAUUUGGCAAGUGGAGAGGGUUCUUUUUGUUUUGUUUUUUUGGGUAGCACAGAAUCAAGUGUUCCCGUUUCACCUUAGAAACUUAAGGGAAAAUGUAACUUUACUCUUUUAUCUGCAUUGCCAAGUGGAGUGGGGAAGAACUCAGAGGGAAGUAAAGCGCCGCCCAAAGCCCGUUCUUCACCGGAGUCCACUAAUAAUAGGGGAAUUCGCUGCCGAUUUUGUCUACUACAGACAUGAGGAGAAUGUGUAUUUCUGUACAAGAUGGGCAAGGCAUCUUAAUGUUGGCAUUUUAAUAAACAAAUGAAAACAAAGUGUUCUUACCCUCUAAAAUGAUCAGUUAUAAGCAUGUCCUUGAUCAGGUGGUUGUUUUGUGAAAACAAACUAUCCACAUUUAAGUGGGGGAGACUGUGUUAAUUUUACUUGUAUUGUAGACUGAGUUCAGUGGUAGGUUUUUUUCUGAGGGGAACUCGUGGAGUCAUCCUUCAAGAUAGGGGAAAUGCUGAGGCGGAGUGUUGCUGGUGAUGAUUCGAUUUCUUUCUAGAAAGCCAUAGAGACUUGUAUGAACUGGGCACAGAAAUAAAAGGCACAGAAGGAAGUUUAAAGAGAGGGACUUGGAAUAUACGUCGUAUGGUACCAUCUUGCUCAGUGGAUACAAAUGAUACAAGAUCCUUCUGGGCAUGGUGCUCUUGCUGCUUCAUUGAAUUCAUUGCAUGGGAACGCUAAAAGAGAAUUGGGUUAAAAUUUAAAGGCUGCACGUUUACAAGUGAUAAAAUAGGCAAGUUAGGGGUUCUGAUUUCUCGGUGAUUGGACCAGAAAAAUAUUAAAUUUGCAUAAAGUUGCUUUUACAUGUCCAGAGACAUUGUAAAACUCAAUCAGGUAAAUGGCGUCUUCAAAUUUGGCCCUCUUUCCUUAUGCCAUACAUGAUAUUGAUGCCCACAGAAAAGAUUUAUAAAAUACUCUUUGCCUACUGUGCUUUUACUGAAAUUUGGAAUAUUUGGUCAAAUAUUGUGGUAUAUAAUAUACUUUAAAGAUAAAUGAUCUAUGCAUAGCACCUUGUAAAUACUGGGUUUUUUUUUUUUUAGUAUUGAUUUUAUGUGUAUAUAUAUAUUUAUUUAUUUUUAAGGUCUUACUUAUUUAUUUUAGAGAUGGGGGUAGGAGCAGAGGGAGAGGGACAAGCAGACUCUGUGCUGAGUGCGGAGCCCCACUCAGGGCCCGAUCACACGACCCUGAGAUUGUGACCUGAGUCAAAAUCAAGAGUCUGAUGCUCAACUGACUGAACCACCCAGGGGCCCCUUUAGUAUUGAUUUUCGAGUAUCAGAUUUUCCAGAAACAAAUAUUUUGUGUGUGUGUUUAUGGCGGGGGGGGGGGGGGGCCUCCAUUUCUCAUCUAGUCAUGCUCCAAGAGGCUUGAUGUGAAUUUUUUUUUUUGAUGUGAAUUUUUUUUAAUUGAAACUCGAAUACUGAAUAAUGACAUAUUCUCUAAUCAUGUUAAAACUUUAUAACCUCAAGUAUAGUUUUAGUCUUACUGGUGCUUUAAUCUAUCCAUAUGGUAUUGGUAUAAAUCAGUGUGUGAAUUAUUAUAUUCUAGUAUUAAAUUUCAGUUUUUUCAAUGUGUAAGAAUGGGAUUAUGAUAGAUUUCUUUAUAUUAUGUGACUUUAAUAAUUACCUUAAAAUCCAUGUGUUUAUCUCAAGAAGGAUUUAUGCUUUUCCGUAGUAUUAAUGCAUAAUCUUUAGUAUUCAUGAAUGUGACAUAGUGCUUUCACCAUGCAAAUUUAUAAGUAGUUACUUAAGUCAGUCCAUCUUUUGCCUCCAAAUUAUGUGUAACUAACAGUCCCAAAACUUGAUGGGCAGUGAAAGAAAGCAGCUGGAGCUGGGAGCUGGUGACAUUGUAACCAUUACUGAAAGAUUAUUGUGCGCCCCUCUCCCCUUCAGGUCAGCAGUAUUGUUUAAAAUCCAGAAAGUGUUUUUUCUCACUUCAUGGUGGUGAGACAUUUUCCUACCUGCAGUAUCACGUAAUCCUGCAAAACCCAGUGACAUAGACAGGGCCACUCCUUGGAAAUAAGGAAUCUGCCGCUGAGGGAGAUGCCCCGCGACUUGUCCAGGUUCCCUGCGCCGAAAGGAGCACUGUUGGGCGAUCCACGGAACGGCGCUACGGACCAGCGCUGUCCUGGGGCGUCCUGCGGUUCCGUCUCCGAGUGCUCUUUACAUUCUAUCCCCUUGUGUCCGCGUCCUACAGACUCUGCUUCCGGAGCUCACAGCCAGUAGUUACAUCGGGAUUUUGCUGGACCCGCCUCACGCAGCUCUCAAGGUCACUGUGUGGUUUUUUAUGUCGCUGGGUGAUAGUUACUUCAUUUCUCUCUCCUUUUUUUCUUCCAUGUAUUUAUUCAUUCCCAGUAAAAUGUGGGCAGGUGAGCAGGAAGUAGGACAUGGAGGGAAAGCCCCCCAGUUUCUUUAAACCCGUCCUACACCCGGCAGCGUGGAGAGCUUAGGAUCUGAUAGGACUUCGACGGCUCUCAGUGUGUCUGUGUCGCUGACCUCAGGUGUUUGAGGUUGUUGGUUGGUGGUCAGCUCUGGGGGCUUCCAGGCUGGCUUCCUGGAGUUCUAGGGGUCUGCGAUGAGGAAAGCUCCCGUUGCCCCAGCUGUUUCGGCUUCAGCAAAGCCGGCUGUACAUUAUACUUGAGAAGACCCCUCCCCGCCCUCCCAGCACCAAAUGCAUUAAAACGCCUUCCACACAGCGUGUUGAGAAUCAGAAGGGAAUGCAAGUUCGUUUGAAGGGAGAAGAGCUGGGAGCUGUUGGUAUAAUGUAACUCAUUUAAGAUUGUGAACACAGAGGCCCAGGGAGGUCAGACUUCUUCUCCAAGGUCACCAUUUAAUUAGUUGGUAGAAAUGUUUGUAAAUAUUAUCAAGAAAGAAUAGAGUAUGCUCUGUCUCUGUGGGUCCUUUGUGCACUGAUGAGUAACUUUCUCCCAGGGCUGUCCGGUUCGCUGCAGAACAACUCAGCGCUUUUACGAGUGGUAUCUGUCUUUUUUACUUUGGGACAUUUUGCUUCACGUAUAGACCAAAAGGUCUGCUGGUCGCCAGAAGUAGGGGAGACAGAGGCACCGAAGUAAGGAAGCGGGCUGUAAAUCCGGGAACGAGCCUGCUCACGACCAUGUGGGCAGUGUUUACUGGUGAGGCAGAGGAGAGAAGCUUUGGCAAACAUUCCAGAUCAUGUGCUUACUUGUUAAAAAGAAAGAAAGAAAAGAAAGAAGAAGAAAAUUCCUGGCAUAAUUCAAAUGGAAAAGCCUCUAUUAUAAAACGUACGUCCUUGAUCUUUGUGAUGGGUUCAACCUGGACGGUCCAUCCGGUCACGGCUUGAGGUGUCUUUAUGAUGUAUUUAUUCUAUAACUGAAAUACCAUAUUCUCCUCAUUAUGAAUAAGUCCAUUAACAGUUUCCUAAGAAAUGAGUCAUUAACCUCUUUAACGAUGAGUGUAUUUGAAAACUAACCAAUUUAGAAUUUGCCCAGGGACCGAUAAGUUAACUCAUCAGUUGUUGCUAGGUGGUAAUCUUCUGGGGACUGGAUUAUUUCAUGAGUGCCUGUCUUGUUUUCGAGAUUUCUUUUUCCUGAGAAAAAAAAUCAUUUAACUGAAUUUUUAUAUGAAGAGAAAGGGUUUUUCUACCUUCCUAAUGAUGUGACUGUAACCCCACUUUCCAAGGCAUAGGGGAAGACGUGAACAACCCAAAAUUCAUAAGCUGUCCAUAGUUUUUAAAAAAGGUCAUGGGGCUCCAUGGGCUUGUGCUCUGGUGGGUGAGUCAGUUUUGUUUGCUUUAGCUGCCGGUGUCUCCAGCAUCCUCGGAGAGACUACUUCCUCCCUAGCAGAUGGCAGCCUCGGGGCCACGCCUGCCUGGUAAGCAGGGUGCACCGUAAUCCACCCAGCCGCGCGGCAUCCCAGGCUGCCUGCCGCAGGGGCUCAGCAAAACAGGGAGACCCUGCCCUUCCCUUCCCUCCCCAUCAGUGCAGCUUUUCGGGUUGAGGGAAGAGCAGAGUUCAGAGUGCCCGGUCUCUUCGGUUCUGGCUGUGGAGCACGUACCAGGAUAAAGGGAAAAGCUGACGAAUGAAGAUUCUGAUGUGCUUGCUCUGUAGGGAGUCUUCAUAAAGAAGCCCAGCAGGCUUUCCCGGGGUGAGGUUUGGAUCCCUUCCCUAGAGCACCCCUGGAAUUGGCGUGGCUGCCCUGCCCAGCACGGGGGAUGGGGGGCGGUGGGAAGCCAGCGGAAAGUCCGGACUGCAGUUGGGGGCGGGGGGUGGGCUGUGAAGCCCGGAAUUCCCAGGCCUUUGGAGAAGCCACACCCACACCCACUGGGGGGAUUGUCCCCGCCAGGCCAGGCCAGCACCUCCCCUCCUGUCCCUGAGCAGAGUCUCAGGUACCUGGUGGGUGGAUGAGUCGGGGGGGGAUUGUGAGGUGGGGGAGAAGUUUUGGAAAUAGGCCAAGAUGUUCUUCUUACUAAGUUUAAAAACUAUGCAAAUCGUGCUUUAGAAACUCUGAGCAAUAAGCAGGAUUAAACAAGGCAUGGAUUAGUGUGUGUAGAGCAGCUUGAUUUUGUUUGAAGAUGAGAAAUGGGGGUACUAGGACCCUGGGACAGUCAACAUAGUGGAGCUCCUGAACUCCUGAAGUGGCAGAAGUUGCUAGAAAGUGGCCAGUUUCUUACGCUGCAGCCUGGAUGCAUUUUUUCGAAGGUAAAUUACUCAAGUGACUUGUGGCAAUGUAUGCGACUGUUUUAUUCUUAUACGAUAGUAGGGUUUUCAAAAAUUGUUUUCUGGCAUAAAGGUGACCUAAAAUAGCACUUUGUAUAUACAGAUGAAACAGAAAACACCAUUAGCUACUCAUACCCUCCUCCAGUUAUGUUUAUCAAGUAAGUUCGAUGACACUUCUUCAAAGAUCUUUCUUUCAUUCGUUUGCUGAGUAGACUUCUAAUAAAUACACGGUUCAACUGAAAAUAUUUAGGUGGGAUUUAGGAAAAUAUAUUAGCUGCAACACUGCGAAAUCUGUAUUUCUUCCUCCUUUAGGAUAUUAUAAAUCCAGGAGCGUACAAUUAUGUUACAGUCAGCAUCAGAAAACUAACUUCAAUUGGUUCAGUAAAAAAAUGAAAACUUGAAUAAUGCAUGGUGUGGAAAUAUUAGAUAUGAAAGCCUGACAGACUUCUAAACAAUGAAUUUUAAAACAUUCUUUAGCUUUUACUUAUUUUGACAGUUUUCUAAAUGAGCAUCUUUUUUCCCCCAAGUUUAAAGUUUAUGUAGCUUCCAAAUAUAAUGACAUUUUGGUAUUUAGGGUCAUAUCAGAAUUUUAAAGAUGCAGUAGAACUGACUCACCUUAAUUCCAUUUUACUUCUUAUCACUAUUUGCAGUUUAGCUUAUCAGUAGGGCUGGUUUAUUAGUAGUCUUCGUUCCAAAUGAAAUAACCACAGCAGUAAAAUACCCAAGUUUCUCUGGCAUGGAGCAUUUAAUUAAGUUCCUAGAAUAACUCCGGGUGAUAAGCAUUCAUCUCCACGACUCUGGAGUCUGUCCUGUUCAGCUGGAAUGUUCAGAAUUCUUCGGGUCUUAAGCCAUUUCCUAGAGUCGAAGACGGUUCAGCCAGUCACUCGAUUGAGGUUCAGUGUGUCCCAACACCAGAGUCGUCACGGGCGACGUGAAACCAGCCUCUGGCCCCUCGGUGCUCCCCACGCACGCUGUCCCCUGGGCAGCCGCUCGGAGCCCUCCGGGAGGUGUCCACCCUUCACAGUGGGCUGGCUCGCUGGAAGGUUCUGAUGGAGCCAGUCCAGCGCAGAGUCGCCUCCGCCACCCUCUUGGGUUACCUCCGAUGAUUCUGGAUCGGUUUUCUUCUCAGAAACAAUAGAGUGAGGAUCUGUCUGGCUUUAUCAACAUGACGUCACACAUCAGAGAAUGACAUUAGAAGAAGAUGCUCAGCGUGGUUGCUUUUUUAUUUUUUUUUUAAUCUGAAGCUGCUUACAGUUUUCUUUUGGAUCUGAGCAACGACUAGGGUUUGGAACAUCUGCGACCGUGUUAGAGUCUGAACCAACAAGGCAAGGACACCUGCCCCUCUCCUGGUUCCCGCGGUGGGGGAAAUUCAUCAUUCUGCUGUUUGUGCUGUGUUUUGUUUGUUUGUUGACAAAAGUCACCGAAGAAGUUAUUCUCAAGAAAAUUGGAUGUUCCGAUUGGUCAUUUAGAUCGUGGCCAGUGUCUUAAUUUCUUCUUACUUUCAUUUUAGCAAAGCAAAUUUAUCCCUCAGCAUGCUAGGAGAUUCUACCAAUACCCAUGAAAGUGGUAAAAUCUGGCAUUUACUGGCAUGCACUCAAAACUACCACAGUCCUACCUCAGUUCCAGGUAAAGCCGGAUUUGCGUGGCCGGGGGCUGGCAGGACCUCCUGCGCAUCUCUGCUGAGUGCGUCUCGAGUGCGGCCUUUCAGCCUUAUUAACUGGCCCCAGGACACAGCUGCUCCGUGGACUCCAAUCCAGGUACCUGCGUGUUUACUCAGACAGAGCCCAGUGUGGGACUGACAUUUCUCAACAGAAAUGCAAUUUGGGAUUGGACUUCGAAGAUGGAUUAAUAAAUAAUAAUAAUUAUGUGUAACUGAAGCAACCUACUUUUGAAAAAUCAUCAAUUACAUUGGGUAGUGGGGGUGGGAGGGGGGUUGGGGCAGGGGGUGAAUAUCUCUUUUUACCUUUAACAGACUUGUUUCAUCUUCUCUAUGUAGAUGUUUAUGUAGGUACUUCAAAUUGCAAAAGCCUUUGAACCUAUUUACAAGCUCAAAUGUCUCUGCUAUCCUUAAUCUUGAGCUUGCAUUUCUUUAACCAAAAAUUCAUGUAGGCAUGCUAGCGAUCCAAGGGUGGUCACGGCUUUGGCAGAUUUAAAAAAAAAAAAAAUGUAUUGUCUUCACUUGAUGGUAUCAUGUGGGCCAAUGGGCUGCCCUGAGCAACAAUAAAAAAACACAAAAACUCCAAAAAAGACAAGGGAAGCAAAGAACUCGGUGUAAGAGCUAUUCCGGCCCCUGUGUUGUUAAGGGAAGAAGAAAAAGGAGACAAAAAAAACCUCACAGUACAUCUGACUUGUUAAAACAGUUCCUGACGAGACUACCCUCAUUUUAUGUUUCCAGUGUUCUGAAGAUACCAGUGUUGUGGUGAUUAGAACUGCUGACCUUGACCAGCAGAAUGUCAUGUCACCUCGCUGCCCCCUUGACACGUGGCGGAGGGCUGCAGACCCCCCUCCCACGGGCACGUUUGCAGUGCCUGUCUGCUCGGAUAGUCCUGUAGAGGUUACGCUAAUUCAUUGGAGAUGUGAGUUUUUUUUUUUUUUUUUGGGAGAAAAAUAUAUAUAAAUAUAUAGAUAUAUAUCACUAUAGAAUAAUGCAUUAAUAAAAUGAGGCUUUUUUAGAGGAAGACCAAAAAAUUCAAUGUCUUAAAAAUAUAUUUAAUGGCAAUGCAAAAGUCUUCCUGCUUCCAUGCUGAACUUUUAGAACAGAGGAUUGUAUUGCGAGACAAAGUUGAAUGUAAAGUGAUCCCCCAGAACAUUUUUAAAGUUUUACUUUUCUAAAAUCACACGUCGCAACAGUGUAUAGACCAUAUGAUGUUAGUUUGAAGGUCAAUUUCAGUGUAUGAUACGUAUACUUUAUGAAAAUGUAUAAAAUGUCCUGAAGUUCGGAUUUAGUUUUGGGACUCGGAAUCGAUGGCUGGUGUUUGCUGCGCAGCCCCCCCAGUUCAGUAGGACCGAGUGAGGGCCCUGCUGGGUACGGUGUGUGUAUGGCAUAUAUAAGUAGGGCUCUAUGCUUAGAGUAGUCUUGGCACCAUAUGCGUGGCUCCCGUUCAUACUGCAGCUUACAACAAGCAGAAUAAAAAGUUGAUAAUAGACUAAAUUUUCCUCUAUCCUGUACAUUUCAAAAAAAAAGGCAUAUGCAAUAUUUACAUUUUUAAUUUAGUUUACAGAAUGGAACCAAAAUGUAUAAAUGUUAUGUUUGCUAAAACUUCACAAUGUAUAUUGGGUCUUUGUACAUUUUGCCUGACUUACCUUAAAUUUAAAAUAUUUUUUGCUAUAUAAACUUUAACAGUUAUUAAACAGUGUUUUCUUUUUGGGUACGUAUUGUUUCUGGAUCUCGAGAUGUUAAAUAUAUUUCUUGCUAUUGUGAUAUGACAAGAGACUUACCUAUCUUGCUCUGUCUUCCACUGUGCGCACCGUGUAUAAGGGUCGAUGUGACGCUGCUGGAAACAACAGUAAACGGACCUAGAAUAGUGCAUUGUACUCAGUCUGUAUUGAUCAUGGAUGCUCUCCUUAACAGCCAUAUGCAAUAAAAUAAAAUACACUAUUUAUGAAACGAAUAAAGCCUUCAGGAUAUCUUC